AAAUUAACUAAAUCAAUCCAUGGUUUCAAGUGCCAGUACACUGAAUUCCAAGGUUAUAUUAAUGAACAAACAAACUAGGAUUCGGGAAAUAUAAAGAUUAAAGAACAGUUUUAAUUUCAAGGCCAGAAGCUUGUUUGUAUUUGAUUUUGGUCCAUGUGAUCUACAUACUUCAUUGCUAGAAUUUCUAAGCCAGUUUUCAAAAUGAGGAUGCAAUUUUAAAAACCAAUAAAGAACAAAAAGCAAACCUUAAAGCAAUCACAUGUUUGGUCAGUAUGAAUUCUAACCAAAAUAGCACUAACAUUUAAUAUAUCACACAUGAAUGUUCAUUAUGAUGCACAGUCAGAGGCAUGCAAAAUGGUCGGUUUGGUUCCGAAUCAAAUUGAACUGGAAAAACGAAAAAUCAAAAUGCAUUUUAUGAGAGACCAAACUGAACCCGUCAAACUGAAAUAAAUUGGUUCAAUUCAAUCCAUCAGUUCUUUGUCCAAUUUCAACAAUAAGACAAAACUCAAUUCUUCUUCCAAUUUCAUCAAUAAAAAAAAACGCAAAUUGUAUCACAAUGAAACUUAUCUCAAGCUCAAUUUUUCAAUCAUUAAAACUCAAUUUUUUG
rnacentral:misc_RNA from 1 species